UACGUAGGGUGCGAGCGUUAAUCGGAAUUACUGGGCGUAAAGCGUACGCAGGCGGCUUUGCAAGACAGGUGUGAAAUCCCCGGGCCUAACCUGGGAACUGCAUUCGAGACUGCAUUGCUAGAGUAUGGGAGAGGGAAGUGGAAUUUCCGGUGUAGCGGUGAAAUGCGUAGAUAUCGGAAGGAACAUCAGUGGCGAAAGCGACUUCCUGGACCAAUACUGACGCUCAUGUGCGAAAGCGUGGGGAGCAAACAGG
rnacentral:rRNA from 1 species